rnacentral:rRNA from 1 species
AUGGGCGCAAGCCUGAUCCAGCAAUGCCGCGUGCGGGAAGAAGGCCUUCGGGUUGUAAACCGCUUUUGUCAGGGAAGAAAAGGUCUGGGCUAAUACCCCGGGAUGAUGACGGUACCUGAAGAAUAAGCACCGGCUAACUACGUGCCAGCAGCCGCGGUAAUACGUAGGGUGCAAGCGUUAAUCGGAAUUACUGGGCGUAAAGCGUGCGCAGGCGGUUAUGCAAGACAGAUGUGAAAUCCCCGGGCUCAACCUGGGAACUGCAUUUGUGACUGCAUAGCUUGAGUGCGGCAGAGGGGGAUGGAAUUCCGCGUGUAGCAGUGAAAUGCGUAGAUAUGCGGAGGAACACCGAUGGCGAAGGCAAUCCCCUGGGCCUGCACUGACGCUCAUGCACGAAAGCGUGGGGAGCAAACAGGAUUAGAUACCCUGGUAGUCCACGCCCUAAACGAUGUCAACUGGUUGUUGGGAAGGUUCCUUCUCAGUAACGAAGCUAACGCGUGAAGUUGACCGCCUGGGGAGUACGGCCGCAAGGUUG